UACAUUGUUUUUAAAUUUCAAAUUGGGUUAGGCAAUUCCUUCAUUUUGUUCUAUUCCAUGCCUGAUGUGUUCGAGUUCUGUCAAUAGCAGAGGAAGACACACAACAAAGGCAGAGUCAGAGGCAGACCAACCAAGGGCAAUUUCUUCUUCCAGUCAGGUCUUCUUGUAGGGCGUGGUCGUGCCCUAACAGCUUAUUACCAACCAAGGGGAGGAAGCAACGGAAAGGGCAGUCGAUUCAUUAGUCGCAGUUCCAGUUCCUUCAAUUGAUUCUGAACCAACAGUUUUAGUUGUACCACCGCCAGUGUCGGAACAAGCAUAAGCACAAGAGGCUACCAGACUAUAUGUUGCAAACCCUAUCAAUAGAUUUGUGGAAUCAACAUUUGAAUUUGCACGCGUUUGUAGGAAGUUGGAUUUCCACAACUUUGUCUUCUGAAUGAAAGAAAGCAACCCUAUAAUCGUGGUCAGGCAUACCAUUUGCUUGUUGCAGAGAUGAAUGUCCCAGGAUGGGAUUAUCCAUUGCAUUUGGGAGUUACUGAAGCUGGUGAAGUUGAAGAUGGGCGAAUGAAAUCUGCAAUUGGCAUUGGAACACUGUUACAGGUUGGUUUGGGUGAUACAAUUCGGGUUUCCCUUACAAAACCUCAAGAAGAGGAGAUAAUAGAUCCAUGCGGAAGACUUGCAAAUCUUGGGAUGCAAGCUACCAAGCUUGAGAAAGGAGUGGCUCCUUUUGAGGAGAAGCACCACCACUAUUUUAAUUUCCAACGGAGAACCAGCCAACUUCCCAUUCAGAAGUAGGGUGACAGAUUGCAAGCUCACAACCCUUCUUGUUCCAGCCAAAAAAAUGCAGUUUAAUAAGAAGUAUACUAAGCAGCUUUUUGAACUAGUUCAUGGUGUAUUCAAAACAACAAGAGAUAGAAUUAGGCUUGCAUCAUUUCUUUAGUUAUAUUUUGGUCAAGCAUAUUGACUUGAUAGCAUUGUAACAUGUACAAAUAUAGUGUUUAAUAAAAAAAUUAUUGGAAGGUUAUAACCCCUUCUAAAGAUUGAAAGGAAUAGUCACUGUCCA